rnacentral:rRNA from 1 species
AUUGAACGCUGGCGGCAGGCCUAACACAUGCAAGUGAGCGGAUGACGGGAGCUUGCUCCUUGAUUCAGCGGCGGACGGGUGAGUAAUGCCUAGGAAUCUGCCUGGUAGUGGGGGACAACGUUUCGAAAGGAACGCUAAUACCGCAUACGUCCUACGGGAGAAAGCAGGGGACCUUCGGGCCUUGCGCUAUCAGAUGAGCCUAGGUCGGAUUAGCUAGUAGGUGGGGUAAUGGCUCACCUAGGCGACGAUCCGUAACUGGUCUGAGAGGAUGAUCAGUCACACUGGAACUGAGACACGGUCCAGACUCCUACGGGAGGCAGCAGUGGGGAAUAUUGGACAAUGGGCGAAAGCCUGAUCCAGCCAUGCCGCGUGUGUGAAGAAGGUCUUCGGAUUGUAAAGCACUUUAAGUUGGGAGGAAGGGCAGUAAGUUAAUACCUUGCUGUUUUGACGUUACCGACAGAAUAAGCACCGGCUAACUCUGUGCCAGCAGCCGCAGUAAGAC